UACGGAGGGUGCAAGCGUUAUCCGGAUUCACUGGGUUUAAGGGGUGCGUAGGUGGGCAGGUAAGUCCGUGGUGAAAUCUCUGAGCUUAACUCAGAAACUGCCGUGGAUACUAUCUGUCUUGAAUAUUGUGGAGGUAAGCGGAAUAUGUCAUGUAGCGGUGAAAUGCUUAGAUAUGACAUAGAACACCAAUUGCGAAGGCAGCUUACUACACAGUAAUUGACGCUGAGGCACGAAAGCGUGGGGAUCAAACAGG
rnacentral:rRNA from 1 species